UAGGAAUACCACAAGCUGGAGGGCAAGU
rnacentral:sRNA from 1 species